GAUGAACGCUAGCGGCAGGCCUAACACAUGCAAGUCGAGGGGUAGAAGGAGCUUGCUCCUUUGAGACCGGCGCACGGGUGCGUAACGCGUAUGCAAUCUACCUUGUACAGGGGAAUAGCCCAGAGAAAUUUGGAUUAAUGCCCCAUAGUAUAUAACCUUCGCAUGUUGGUUAUAUUAAAGUUCCAACGGUCAAGAUGAGCAUGCGUCCCAUUAGUUAGUUGGUAAGGUAACGGCUUACCAAGACGAUGAUGGGUAGGGGUCCUGAGAGGGAGAUCCCCCACACUGGUACUGAGACACGGACCAGACUCCUACGGGAGGCAGCAGUGAGGAAUAUUGGUCAAUGGUCGCAAGACUGAACCAGCCAUGCCGCGUGCAGGAAGACGGUCCUAUGGAUUGUAAACUGCUUUUAUACAGGAAGAAACCCUCCCACGUGUGGGAGCUUGACGGUACUGUAGGAAUAAGGAUCGGCUAACUCCGUG
rnacentral:rRNA from 1 species